rnacentral:rRNA from 1 species
GAUGAACGCUAGCGGCAGGCCUAACACAUGCAAGUCGAGGGGCAGCACAUAAAGUGGUUUACUAAUUUUGGUGGCGACCGGCGGACGGGUGCGUAACGCGUAUGCAACCUGCCUCCAACAGGGGGAUAACGGAGAGAAAUUUCCACUAAUACCCCAUACUAUCAGAAUCGGCAUCGGUCUUGGUUGAACACUCCGGUGGUUGGAGAUGGGCAUGCGUUGUAUUAGAUAGUCGGUGAGGUAACGGCUCACCAAGUCAACGAUACAUAGGGGGACUGAGAGGUUAGCCCCCCACACUGGUACUGAGACACGGACCAGACUCCUACGGGAGGCAGCAGUGAGGAAUAUUGGUCAAUGGGGGCAACCCUGAACCAGCCAUGCCGCGUGCAGGAAGACGGCUCUAUGAGUUGUAAACUGCUUCUACAAGGGGAUAAAUCGGUGUACGUGUACACCGUUGAAGGUACCUUGGGAAUAAGGAUCGGCUAACUCCGUGCCAGCCGCCGCCGUAA